rnacentral:lncRNA from 1 species
AAAUAAGUGAGCCACAUCCACCCUGCAAGACUGAUGUCUACCACUGAAGGUCAGCAAUCUCUCAACCAGCUCAAGCCACCGGAUCUGGUGGAUCCCGAGCUUCGUGGCCCCUACACCCUGUGUAAGAGAAGCUGUUCGCUAUUUUCAGAAAUCUGUGCCUUAAAAAGAUGGAUGGAGCAGAAAGAACCACCAGGAAGGAGAGAUGUACAGCAUCCCAAACACGAACUGAGGAAGAGACUUGAGAAGAAGGAACCCUCACCAGAAGGAUCAAUUGGGUCCAGCACCUCAGACAAAAUUGUGUGCAGAGUCUGGCCCAUCCUGAAAUCCAGAGCCUCACUCUUAGCAGGCUGAGUGACAAGCAUCCCUGUCAAGAGAGACAAUGGCAGUAUUGACCUGCCAUGGGGAAGCAGCUCCAGGGACAGCUUGCAGACAGGCUUUGCCUCCCACACAAUUGCUGGCUGAUUCUCAUGUUCACAAGAGAAGGACUGCACAUUCCAGACAAAGGGACUAUUUAUUUUCCCACCAAAGGUGACACGUGGCAUCCGGAGGUCAAACCGAGGCUGGGGCCGUGUUUGCUGGGCUAAGCUGUGCCUUUUCCCAGAGGCCUGGAUUGUUCUGACAACCUCUCCAGCUGUGUCCCCAGGGCUGAGAAUGUUUCCUCAACUGCUCUGUACAAACACCCAUACUGGCU